rnacentral:rRNA from 1 species
CAGUCGCCACGGUAAUACGAAGGGGGCUAGCGUUGUUCGGAUUUACUGGGCGUAAAGGGAGCGUAGGCGGAUUGUUAAGUCAGGGGUGAAAUCCCAAGGCUCAACCUUGGAACUGCCUUUGAUACUGGCGAUCUUGAGUCCGGGAGAGGUGAGUGGAACUGCGAGUGUAGAGGUGAAAUUCGUAGAUAUUCGCAAGAACACCAGUGGCGAAGGCGGCUCACUGGCCCGGAACUGACGCUGAGGCUCGACAGCGUGGGGAGCAAACAGGAUUAGAUACCCCCGUAGUCCCUGUCUCUUAUAC